UGUGUGUUUAGUAGAAAGACAAUCCUUUUUUUUCCAGUCAAUUUUUUCUUUGAUCUAUAGAACUUGCUUCUUUUCUCUGAAGUUUUCACAAUACAGCAUGAAGGAGCACAGAGUGCCAGAGGCAGGGAAUUCCUAUGCUUCACUAGUGACUCAUAAGAAAACUUAAUAGAAGGUCUCUACUGCCUGCUGGCCCUGCAGUACCUGAUUGAUGUGGUCCCAAACUAAAGUAGGCUAACCUUCAUUGAACCAAGCACUUCAGAGCCAUGGGAAGAAGUAUGGGGGAAGGAGUCCUUGUACUCUGGCAAUGAGGAAAACAAACAUUAACAGUGCAAGACACAGUGAGAGUCACAGAUCCAUGGAUGGACGAUCCUUUUGAGGACAAUAGAGGGGGAAUUUGGAUAAGUUUCCUGAGUGAGAAACCUUCCAGAUGGCAAUCUGCAAGUUAGUUGUUCCUUCUCAAAACACAGAGCUUUCUCAAGAGAAAGAUAACACCCUCUUUCAUCAGAGCGAGUGAGAGCUCCACCUUGAUGACUGGUUUUGACAAAAUGCUUU
rnacentral:lncRNA from 1 species